rnacentral:rRNA from 1 species
GACAGAGGGUGCAAACGUUGUUCGGAAUUACUGGGCGUAAAGCGCGUGUAGGCUGUUUCGCAAGUCGGAUGUGAAAGCCCUGGGCUCAAUCUAGGAAGUGCACUCGAAACUGCGAAACUGGAGUCCUGGAGAGGAAGGCGGAAUUCUCGGUGUAGAGGUGAAAUUCGUAGAUAUCGAGAGGAACACCGGUGGCGAAGGCGGCCUUCUGGACAGUGACUGACGCUGAGACGCGAAAGCGUGGGGAGCAAACAGG